AGUGAACGCUGGCGGUAGGCCUAACACAUGCAAGUCGAACGGCAGCACAGUAAGAGCUUGCUCUUACGGGUGGCGAGUGGCGGACGGGUGAGGAAUACAUCGGAAUCUACUUUUUCGUGGGGGAUAACGUAGGGAAACUUACGCUAAUACCGCAUACGACCUACGGGAGAAAGCAGUGGAUCUUCGGACCUUGCGCGAUUGAAUGAGCCGAUGUCGGAUUAGCUAGUUGGCGGGGUAAAGGCCCACCAAGGCGACGAUCCGUAGCUGGUCUAAGAGGAUGAUCAGCCACACUGGAACUGAGACACGGUCCAGACUCCUACGGGAGGCAGCAGUGGGGAAUAUUGGACAAUGGGCGCAAGCCUGAUGCAGCCAUACCGCGUGGGUGAAGAAGGCCUUCGGGUUGUAAAGCCCUUUUGUUGGGAAAGAAAAGCAGCAGGUUAAUACCCCGCUGUUCUGACGGUACCCAAAGAAUAAGCACCGGCUAACUUCGUG
rnacentral:rRNA from 1 species